rnacentral:lncRNA from 1 species
UCCUUGCUUCCUUUCUCCGCCCGACCUCAUGGCUGGCCAGGCAGGGCUGCCGUGAACAUCUAAAGAGUGGCCAGAUGAAAUAUUCCAACUGAGCUCCACUUCACAGGACUCUGCACUCCAUGGAUCAGCUGACACCACCCAGACCAGUAAUGUGGCUCAACCAAUUCUGCCAUUCCACCCAGGAACAUAGACAGCAAGAAAAACUCACUUCGACCCCUCUAUGAUUCCAUCUCCAACCUGACCAAUCAUCACUCCUCGCUUCCUGAGCCCCUACCUGCCAAAUUAUCUUUAAAAACUCUGAUCCCUGAAUGCUUCAGGAGACUGAUUUCAGUAAUAAUAAAACUCUCAUUCCUGCACAGCUGGCUCUGUGUGAAUUACUCUUUCUUCACUGCAAUUCCCCUGUCUCGAUACAUUGGCUCUGUGAAGGCAGCAGGCAAUGUGAACCCACUGGGUGGUUAUACCGCUUCAAAAAAAAAAAAAAAAUGAAUCAUGAAUGUCUCCUCUACCAGACUCAACUGUAGAAGAGCAGGAAUGGUGUCUUCUUUUGCUCUCCACUCUGUUCCCAGCUUGUAGCUACAUAGUGUACACACAAUAAAUAUUAGCUGAGUGGAUGAACCAUUUCUUCUCUGUCUUUAAAUGUAAUACCUUGCUCCAAAUAGAUUUUCGAUAAAUACGAAUAAAUGGAGAAUGCCAUUUUAAAUCAUUCAAAAGGGCUCUUGCAGAAUAAAAGACUUAGAAGAGAAAAAGUUGAACCUCAAGGCUCAAAAAUACAAUCAUCUUUCCACUGUUGAUCUAUGAACUCAUGAAAGAGAAGCUUCUCCUAGGGACAGGGUAACAUUCAUCGGGGGAAAGGGGUUUUAAAACAUUAAAUAAUAAGUUUGCAAACUUUUCCUUUAGGGACUAAGAAUUUUAGCUUUUUUGCCAGUUAUUAUUCCCAAACUCUGCUAAGUGAUCACUAUGUGAAAAC